GGAAGGGUGGCGCAGUGGGUUAGGCACUAGACUGUGACUUGAGAGACCAGGGUUCAAUUUCCUGCUCUGCCA
rfam:Chelonia mydas contig115738, whole genome shotgun sequence.